rnacentral:misc_RNA from 1 species
GAUGAAGAACGUAGCGAAAUGCGAUAAGUAAUGUGAAUUGCAGAAUUCAGUGAAUCAUCGAAUCUUUGAACGCACAUUGCGCCCGCCAGUAUUCUGGCGGGCAUGCCUGUUCGAGCGUCAUUUCAACCAUCAAGCCCCCGGCUUGUGUUGGGACCUGCGGCUGCCGCAGGCCCUGAAAACCAGUGGCGGGCUCGCUAGUCACUCCGAGCGUAGUAAUACAUCUCGCUCAGGGCGUGCUGCGGGUUCCGGCCGUUAAAAAGCCUUAUUUACCCAAGGUUGACCUCGGAUCAGGUAGGAAGACCCGCUGAACUUAAGCAUAUCAAUAAGCGGAGGA